rnacentral:sRNA from 1 species
ACGCAAUACGUUACCGUGCGCUUGCCGCACAC